GGUAUGGUCAGAGGGUGGUGCUCUUGCGGUCAAUAGAAAUGGCCUUGGUCCUUCCUGGCCGCCGAGGCUCAUUCCUGCGUCUGCCUUCCCAACAGAAACUGCUGCUGCUUCAAGUGGCCAGUGGGCAGAAGAAGAUCCGGAGUAUGCAUCCCGCUCUGGCAGAUGAACCGGACUCCCCCUUCAACUUCAUCCUACCCAAGCCCAAGCCCCACAAGGGAACUCCCGCAAGGUCUACAUUUGCGAUGCCAGAGGAAGACUCAACAUCCGAUUCGGAGGAUUUGGGAGGAGACACUGAAGAUGAUGAGUGGGUCCCAGCCAAACUUGCCAAGAAGACUGCUUUGGGGGUAUGACUCUGAUGCAGGAAGAAAGUGGUUGUUUUGUAAGCUUUUCCCUACCCCUGGAAUUAGGUCAGAAGCCAUUCCCAGAUUCCCCUCCCCCCCUUUGCUAGUUGGAAAUUCUAGGAGUUGCAGUUGGAAAAAAAGAAUCCUCAAAAAUAGAAUCAAGGCAGUUUUGCGGACAUGGCUGUGCCUUGAAUGCUACUCACCCGCCCUUGUCGAAACCAUUUCUGCUAGUUAGUCCUCUCCCCUUUUUUUGUUGUAAAACUCCAAAUUAGAUGGCACAGUAGCAAAACUGAUGCAGAGACUGAAGAAGGGACUUGAGUUCAUUUCAAGAUCUUGCUUUCCCUGUGGAAGUGGAGUACUCCCUGUGGAGUAAGGAAAUUCUGUGGUUCGGUUUGCCUAAAACUCAGAUUAGCCUUUGCCUUUCCUACAGAAUGCAGCCCCCUUUAGAUACCAGCAUCAUUGCUUUUAUUUCAUUUCAUAUUUUAUUCCAUCCGUUGGGUUUCAGUGUCUUACCACAUUCUGUGCCAGUUAGUUGGAUCUACAUCAUUCUGUGGCACAAUCCAUCCUUUUUUCCGGUUGAUAUGGGAAACGUAGAUAGAAGUUCACUGUGUAUUUAUGUACACUGUGGUCCAGAAGGGCAAAGGCUGCUUUUUCCCAUCCAGUGGCAUCUGGAUGGUACCCAGAGACCAUUUCAUGACCAAUCUGUUGAUUGUUCCGACCAGGGAAGGAGAGGAUCUGUGUUCUGUUGUGCAACUGGAGGAAAGGCCUGGCAAAGGGGUACAAAAUACUUCCUUGCGCAGCAUCCGGGGGGGAAAUACUCAACCGCUUAGGGACUUCUGACUUUAUUCUGGGGAGGUGCACUGGUCUUGGGGCCAACACGCCUCCUUUGCUCUCCUCUCUUAGUGCCGCUGCAAAGGUGCAGAUGGAUGACAACCUUGGGAUCAGUGUAAUGUUAAAAUGUUUUAUGCUUGUGUGUGAAGGUUAAUGUUUUAAUGAUUUAAUAUGUUAUUGUUUGAGAUGUGUGUUAUACUGUUUUUAUCAUAUGCCAUUUAUUUGAGUCCCCCAGCAUGAGAAAAGUUAUAUAUAAAUGAAAUGAAAUAAAUAAAUAAAUAAAUAAAUUCAUGUAGUUGAUUCAUCAUGUCAGUCUCUUUCCAAAUCUGGGCUCUUCUAAUGCAUUUCAAAGCCUACUUAAAGUUGUGGUGGCCACAAAAUGUACACUGCCUAUGUGCACUGCAACACACAAGAGUGAUACAGCAGUUUCUAAAAGUCCCAGGAAAGCCAGAGUUCAGCCAGAAAAUGUGUUGCAGCAGAUGCCAGUGUAUUUUAGAUCCAGGGCAAAAUCGUCUCUGCAAAACGCAAAGCAUAUUAUGAAUAGAUACCCGCCUCUGCUGAAGCUAGGUAAAAUAUCAUUAUAUAUAUCUAUCGAAUUCAGUUAUAAACUCCAGCUGUGUCUCCUUUUUUGCUAGAGAAGUGUGAGACAAAUUUGUAUUUAUUUGUAUUUCUGUAUCCAUAUAUCAUUGAACCGUAACCAAAGAAUGCUGUCAUCUUGCACCAUUAGAGUCAUUGUUUGAUUUCAACAAAUCCUCAAAUCUGGUUUGGCAAGGACCUGAGGCCCUCAAAUUCAUCACAGGGACAUAAUAUGACAAAAUUAUGUAGAUACUGCUUGUUUGUUUAAAAAGCAAUAAACACACACACACAUCUAUAUAAAAUUUAGCAAACUUUAGGUACUACUGAGCCACAAUGCUUUAUAAAAUUUAAUGGGGGGGAUACUCACAAAAGGAUUUAUGGCAUCAAAUAAUUAAACCAGUGGAUUAAAUUUUUCCUUUGAAAUGUUCUUUUAUAGAAAGUUGCAUGUGAUGUUCAGCUCAUCAAAGCUACUUCUGAUUAACAUACUGUACAUAGGCUUUGAAGGUACCAUGCUUAUUAAAUCUUACUUGUGAAGACA